rnacentral:rRNA from 1 species
CGGUUGAUCCUGCCGGACCUGACUGCUAUCGGAUUGGUACUAAGCCAUGUGAGUCAUUUGUAGCAAUACAAGGCAUACGGCUCAGUAACACGUAGUCAAUCUGCCCUAUGGACGUGGAUAACCUCGGGAAACUGAGAAUAAUCCGCGAUAGAUCAUAAUGCCUGGAACGGUUUAUGGUCCAAAUGAUUCGUCGCCAUAGGAUGGGACUGCGGCCUAUCAGCUUGUUGGUGAGGUAAUGGCCCACCAAGGCUAUUACAGGUACGGGCUCUGAGAGGAGAAGCCCGGAGAUGGGUACUGAGACACGGUCCCAGGCCCUAUGGGGCGCAGCAGGCGAGAAACCUUUGCAAUGUGCGCAAGCACGACAAGGUUAAUCCGAGUGUUUCCUGCUAAAGGAAUCUUUUGUUAGUUCUAAAACCACUGAUGAAUAAGGGGUGGGCAAGUUCUGGUGUCAGCCGCCGCGGUAAAACCAGCACCUCAAGUGGUCAGGAGGAUUAUUGGGCCUAAAGCAUCCGUAGCCGGUUCUGUAAGUUUCCGGUUAAAUCCACUAGCUCAACUAAUGGGCUGCCGGAAAUACUGCAGAACUAGGGAGUGGGAGAGGUAGACGGUACUCGGGAGGAAGGGGUAAAGUCCUUUGAUCUCUUGAUGACCACCUGUGGCGAAGGCGGUCUACCAGAACACGUUCGACGGUGAGGGAUGAAAGCUGGGGGAGCUAACCGGAUUAGAUACCCGGGUAGUCCCAGCUGUAAACGAUGCAGACUCGGUGAUGCACUGGCU